rnacentral:rRNA from 1 species
AACGUAGGAGGCAAGCGUUAUCCGGAUUUACUGGGCGUAAAGGGCGUGCAGGUGGUGGUCUAAGUGGUGCGUGAAAGCGCUCGGCUCAACCGGGGAACUGCGUCUGAUACUGGGUGGCUUGAAUCCGGGAGAGGGAUGCGGAAUUCCAGGUGUAGCGGUGAAAUGCGUAGAUAUCUGGAGGAACACCGGUGGCGAAGGCGGCAUCCUGGACCGGCAUUGACGCUGAGGCGCGAAAGCCAGGGGAGCAAACGGG